GUUAACGUGUAUUUUUCUUUCGUUUAUUUUCUGUGUGUAAAGAAACGUUUGGCCGAAAUAAUUUCAAGAAAUAAUGAAGAUGACAUUGCAUCUAAUAGUAAUCGAGGUUCCAUUGUAAUAACACCUGCUACGAAGCAAGAUAAGUAAGUUCCAAUUGCAUGACAAUGAAGAACGCUUCAAGACACCGUUGAGCUUCUUGCCAGUACUUAAUACGCUCGAUCGAAGAACGAAUGAAAAUUCCAUGGAAGGGGAUGGAUCUACCAUUGGCCGAUAGAAUAUUCGCCAAGGUAUUAUUCAAAUUAAAUGGAAUCGACUGUCGUCGACCGCGGGUUAGGACCGUUUGUAAUAGAGCUAGGCCGGAAUUCGAAAUGCCACCGAUAAAGGAUGGGUUUCACCGUUCCGAGAAGAACAUUCCCCUUUGUCGUCGAUACCCGUUCAACGACACGCUCACAUCGACCGAAAAUUUUAUGAUGUCUUCAAUGUCCAUCCCUUGUGAACAGCAAUCUUUUAGAGACUUUCAGAAGUAUUGAGAUCGGAUGAAGAAAUUAAGACAAGGAUCGUUUCACCUUUCAACUUUCAGCCUGCCAAAGGAUCUUGGAUCUUUGUUAUUAUAAGUUUGUAUGAAGUCAUUGUAAAGCAGAAGAA
rnacentral:lncRNA from 1 species